rnacentral:rRNA from 1 species
UACAGAGGGUGCGAGCGUUGUUCGGAAUUACUGGGCGUAAAGCGUUUGUAGGCGGUGCUGAGAGUCCUAGGUGAAAUCCCCGAGCUCAACUCGGGAACUGCCUCGGAGACCUCAGUACUAGAGUACUGAAGGGGUUGCUGGAAUUCCAUGUGUAGCGGUGAAAUGCGUAGAUAUAUGGAGGAACACCUGUGGCGAAGGCGGGCAACUGGUCAGAGACUGACGCUGAGAAACGAAAGCGUGGGGAGCAAACAGG